AUGGCCGGCACGUGCGCCCACGUCGAAUUCCUCCGCGCGCAGCCGGCGUGGGCGCUGGCCCUCGCGGCCGUCGGCCUCCUCGUCGCCGCCCGCGCCGCCCUGCGCCUCGCCCUCUGGGUCUACGCCGCCUUCCUCCGCCCCGGCAAGCCCCUGCGCCGCCGCUACGGGCCCUGGGCCGUCGUCACCGGCGCCACCGACGGCAUCGGCCGCGCCAUCGCCUUCCGCCUUGCCGCCUCCGGCCUCGGCCUCGUGCUCGUCGGCCGCAACCCGGACAAGCUCGCCGCCGUCUCCGAGGAGAUCAGGGGCAAGUACCCCAAGACCGAGGUCCGCACCUUCGUGCUCGACUUCGCUUCCGAGGGGCUCGCCGCUGGGGUGGAGGCGCUCAAGGACUCCAUCCGGGGCCUCGACGUCGGCGUGCUCGUCAACAACGCCGGGGUCUCGUACCCGUACGCCCGCUACUUCCAUGAGGUGGACGAGGAGCUCAUGCGGAGCCUCAUCCGGGUCAACGUCGAGGGGGUAACGCGGGUCACCCACGCCGUGCUCCCGGGCAUGGUCGACAGGAAGCGUGGCGCAAUCGUCAACAUCGGCUCCGGUGCUGCCUCUGUUGUGCCGUCCGAUCCACUCUACUCCGUCUACGCCGCCACGAAAGCGUACGUUGACCAGUUCUCAAGAUGCCUCUAUGUUGAGUACAAGGGCAAGGGCAUUGAUGUGCAAUGCCAGGUGCCCUUGUACGUGGCGACAAAGAUGGCAUCAAUCAGGAGGUCUUCCUUCCUUGUGCCAUCCGCGGACACCUAUGCUCGUGCUGCUAUUCGCCACAUUGGCUAUGAGCCGAGGUGCACACCGUACUGGCCACACUCUGUUCUGUGGUUCUUGAUCUCCCUUCUCCCAGAGUCACUUGUGGAUAGUACACGCCUCAGCAUGUGCAUCAAGAUCCGCAAGAAGGGGCAGGCUAAGGAUGCCAAGAAGAAAGCGCAGUGA
rnacentral:rRNA from 1 species